AAGCUGAGCUGACGGCUCACCCCGGGUGUUUGUCACAGCCAACCGUUGGAGAUGGGGGUGUACUGGUCGGUUUUGUCUUGCGGGGGGGGGCUGAGGGGGACAUCCCGCGGGCCGACUUGGUGGAGGCGGGUUGCACCCCAGGUCCGAACGGAAAAAGGGUUUAAAAGAUUAAAUCACCCGCGUUUCCUUUCAACUAUGUCUCUGCUAUCUUUUCUGGAUGGAGCCGCCGCGUAUUUAAGGGUUGGGAGGAGUAUGAGCUCCCCCCGGCCUUCAUCCGUAUCCGACCUGAGAGGGUAAUCGGCCACAUUGGGUCUGAGACACGACCCAGACUCCUAGGUGAGGUCGCUGCGGGGAUCUUCCACAAUGGACCCAAGUCUGAUGGAGCAACGCCUCGUGAAUGAAUAAUUGUUUCCGCUCAUAAAACUCUGUUGCUAAUAAAAAGGGAGAAUAAGAGUAACUGUUUACCCAGUGACUCUCUUUACCCCGAAAUCCACCGCUAACUACCCCGCCUUCUGCCGGCGCCCAUACUAUGU
rnacentral:rRNA from 1 species